rnacentral:rRNA from 1 species
CCCUUAGAUGUUCUGGGCCGCACGCGCGCUACAAUGAUGAAUUCAACGAGUUUAUAACCUUGGUUGAAAAGCCUGGGUAAUCUUUUGAACUUUCGUCGUGAUGGGGCUAGACCCUUGCAAUUAUUGGUCUCCAACGAGGAAUUCCUAGUAAACGCAAGUCAUCAGCUUGCAUUGAUUACGUCCCUGCCCUUUGUACACACCGCCCGUCGCACCUACCGAUUGAAUGGUCCGGUGAGGCCUCGGGAUUGUGGCCAGUUUCCUUCAUUGGGAGUUGGCUGCGAGAACUUGUCCAAACCUUAUCAUUUAGAGGAAGGUGAAGUCGUAACA